AAAAGCUACAUAAGCGCAUAUAACGGAUGCCUUGACGUAAGUUACCGAUGAAGGACGUAGUAGGCUGCGAUAAGCCUCGGGGAGGUGCCAACAACCUUUGAACCGAGGAUGUCCGAAUGGGGUAACCCACGGCGAGUAAUGUCGCCGUACAACUACCUGAAUAUAUAGGGUAGUCAGUGGUAAGUGCCUGAACUGAAACAUCUUAGUAGGGCGAAGAAAAGAAAGUAACCAACGAUUCCGAAAGUAGUGGCGAGCGAAAUUGGAAUAGUCCAAACUUAGUAAAUUUUUGCCUAUUAAUUUAGGCGAAUAAGUUGACAGACGAAUAUUUAUUAGGGGUUGUGAGAAGUAAAUAUUUCAAGCUGAUGAUUUGAUUCGUCAAAUCAUUGGUUUGGACGCACGUGCUGUCACAAGCGUGCAUAAGGUCAGAAAAGUUCAAUGCGAGCAGAAGGAGCUGGAAAGCUCUGCCAAAGACGGUGAUAGCCCGGUAUGCCAAGUGUUGAACACCUUAUUUUUACUAUCUCGAGUAAGACGGGACACGAGAAACCCUGUCCGAAGCUGGGACGACCACGUUCCAAGACUAAAUAUGACUUACGAUCGAUAGUGAACUAGUACCGCGAGGGAAAGGUAAAAAGAACCCCGGAAGGGGAGUGAAAUAGAACCUGAAAUUAUAUGCGUACAAGGACUCGGAGGGCUUCGGCCUGACGGGGUGCUUUUUGUAGAACGAUCCAGCGAGUUAAUUGUAUGGGGUUUGCUUAAGUCAUUUGACGAGAGGCAUAGUGAAAGCGAGGCUGAAUAGGCCGAAUUAUAAUCCUAGCAAUUAGACCCGAAACCGGGUGACCUAACCAUGAGCAGGCUGAAGCGACGGUAAAACGUCGUGGAGGGCCGAACCGUAGCACGUUGCAACAUGCCCGGAUGACUUGUGGUUAGCGGUGAAAUGCCAAUCGAACUCGGAGAUAGCUGGUUCUCCUCGAAAUAGCUUUAGGGCUAGCGUCGUACGGUAGCAUCUAGGGGUAGAGCUCUAAUUCGGACUGGGGCCCUUACGGGUACCCACCCUUGUUAAACUACGAAUACUAGAUGUGGAACUACGGCAGUCAGAACGGCGCAGCUAAGUGCGUCGCUCAAAAGGAAAACAGUCCAGACCACCAACUAAGGUCCCUAAAUUAACACUAAGUGGGAAACGAGGUGGGAUUUCUUAAACAAUGAGGAUGUUGGCUUAGAAGCAGCCAUUCAUUUAAAGAGUGCGUAACAGCUCACUCAUCAAGAGAUCCUGCGCGGAAAAUGUAACGGGGCUAAGUGUUAUACCGACGUUGUGGAUGUGUGCUAUAGGACCAAGCAUUUGGUUCUCAUCGUGAAUAUACUGAUUCAAAUUAUUACGAAUUUAGUUCGAAAUAAUUUGUCCAUAUCGGAAAAAGAUCAGUCCGAGCAAUCUGCCUUAUUGCAGUUGCCCGGAACGAUAAGAAAAAACCAAAGGUUUUGUCUUAUAGCAUGCGUGGUAGAGGAGCGUUCCUAUCUGCGUUGAAGUCGUGUCGCGAGGCACGGUGGAGCGUUAGGAAGUGAGAAUGCUGGAAUGAGUAACCAUAAGGUAGGUGAGAAUCCUACCCACCGAAAGAGCAAGGUUUCCUGGGCCACGGUAAUCGUCCCAGGGUUAGUCGGUCCUAAGCCGAGGCAAGUAGCGUAGGCGAUGGACAACGGGUUAAUAUUCCCGUACUGGCUAUAGAUUGUUUAUUGUGCGCGGUAUGAUAGCAGGAGCGGAUUCAUGGUUAUAUCCGUUUAACACGUCUAACGGGCGUGGAGUAAGAGAUUAUCUUCGGAUAGUUAAUUCCUGUCAAAGUGCUGACCAGAAAAGCAUAUAAACGCGUGCCUAUAGUCAUCCGUACCGCAAACCGACACAGGUGCUCAGGUCGAGAAGACCAAGGUGUACGAGUGAAUCUUCGUUAAGGAACUCGGCAAAAAAGCGACCGUAACCUCGGGAUAAGGUCUGCCCCGUCACUUUGCUUAUGAGCAAGUGACUAAUGCCAGUUUUCUUUUACUAAUACACGUCAGAACAUUCAGUUUUUAAGCAUUCUGAAUAAUCUGUACGUAUCGAGAACAUUGAGAAAGAAAGCUGACUCUGUUAGCACUACGAGCUUGAAGUCCGAAAGGGAAGAGAGCAGCCCGCAAAACGAAUUUACUUCGUUUUCCGGCGCGACGAGAAAAACCGCAAGGUUUGUCUCGUAAGCAGUGUGACGGGGCCGCAGCGAAAGAACCCAAGCAACUGUUUACCAAAAACAUAGGUCUCUGCAAACACGAAAGUGGAAGUAUAGGGGCUGACGCCUGCCCGGUGCUGGAAGGUUAAGGGGAUAGCUUCACGGCUUGAACUGAAGCCCCAGUGAACGGCGGCCGUAACUAUAACGGUCCUAAGGUAGCGAAAUUCCUUGUCAGGUAAGUUCUGACCCGCACGAAUGGCGUAAUGAUUUGGGUACUGUCUCAACGAAGAGCUCGGUGAAAGUGCAUUGCCGGUAAAGAUGCCGGCUGUCCGCAGCAGGACGAGAAGACCCUAUGGAGCUUUACUACAGCUUGACAUUGAAUCGAGCGUUUACAUGUGUAGGAUAGGUGGGAGACUUUGAAGCCCCGACGCUAGUCGGGGUGGAGUCAUCCGUGAAAUACCACCCUUGUAAUCGUUUUAUUCUCACCUGUACCGUAAUCCGGUACAGAGACAGUGUCUGGUGGGUAGUUUAACUGGGGCGGUUGCCUCCUAAAGAGUAACGGAGGCGUUCAAAGGUU
rnacentral:rRNA from 1 species